GCCCACAGGUCCUGUCCCCGCGAUUUAAUGAAAUCACUUAUUUUGCAUCAGAGAUGUCUUCAAGAAUUCUUUCUUGGCUGUCAGCUCUAUAAUAUGCGCCCCGCCCAGCCUCAUCAUUUGGCGCCUAUAUGGGGUUGUGAGUCUUUUCAUCUGGACUCUGAGCUUCAGUGCAAAUGUGGAGGAGGAUGGGACCUUCUUCUCAGUCCCCAAGGACUCUCCCUUGGGAUGCCUCUUCAACCUGCUAGAAACAAUUUGGAUUGCAAACUUUAGGAAAGAGGAAUUCAACGAGCAAACUAAUCUGCCUUCUUAUUCCUGUGAACCUGUGGAAGACCUCCAACUUCUCUUAGGAUGGUUGUACCUUUCUUUUUCAUCCUCUUUUCCCAAUUUCUACUAACAAUUUCUUCUUACAAUGGUCCGUUCAAAAGGAUCACCACAGACAUUUGAGAUACAAGCCAAAAGACUGAUGUGAUUCCUGCUGCCUGUUCCCAGAAACAUCUGAGGAUACUUCAAGCCUAACAUCUAACAAUUCUCACUGGCAGCACUGGGAGACAGUGGGUUUGUAAUCUGCUCUAAGCAUUAACCUGUAUUUUUCUUGUUUCUAUAAAAGUACCUCCUAUUAAUGACGUGCUGGCUUACUAAACAAAACAGAGUCAAUAUAAUGAGUAUACACCACCUGUACACAGUUGAGGCCUUAAAUGACUCUCAAAAUAACAUUAUAUUACUAAAUAUUAAAUAAGUCAAAUACAGAAAUCAGUUCUACAAAACAGAAUAGCAUUAGAUGUUUUAAGUGCUGCACAAGGUGGAACUUAAACUCUCAUAACAACAAAACGGCGUGUAUACAUUCGGACUACUUCAAAAUAUUUCUGGAUUUCCAACUGACAUGAAUACUCAAAUUGGUGGAUUAAACGAUCCCUCUCUUACCUUAGCAAUUGGUUAAGCUCUUGGUCUGGAGGAUUUUUGUUAGCUACCAAAGGACCUUUCAUUUGAGCUAAUCUGUCUAGUUAUUCUACUUAUGUUUUGCUGUUUUUCCCCAGGUCUCUCUGCCUGGUGCCAAGAUUCCAGCACUACAAUAGCUUCAAGCCAAGAGAUGAUCCUUUCUACUCAAGGAUGUUCAUACACGUUGUCCACCUUGGGUUCAGCUGCCUCACCUUAGCUGCCCUAUAUGUUUCCUGAUGGACCAAUAUUGACCCAUAGGUAGGGACGGCUCUAUGCCCCUACUCAGCAGGAUGAAGCUAUAGAAGAUGAGACCUUCUUCCUACAACAACCUUAAAGACUUAAGGGUCAAAGUUGUUCAGGGGGGACAUGAUGAGUUAGGGUGGGGCAAGCUGAGGACAAAACAGGCUGGCACAUCUUCCCCUCCCUUCAGGUAGAAUAUGUGCAUUAUUCAAACAUUUCUGGCUACACAAGAACAAAGGAAAGGCAUCUAAGUGCUUGCCAUGGUGAUGUGGGAAACUAAGGCAAAAAAAAUUAAAUCCCUUUACUGCCAUCACCCCAUUGAUAAGUUCUUGAAACAAGCAGAGUGAACUCCCUCUUCAAUCUCUGCUGCUUCAGUGUUGACAUUUUGCUAGGGGCAAAGAGAACCUUAGCUCAACAUUAUCCCAACCUUGAGGAUACUGUAAGUCUACUUCCUUUCUCACAACUGCCCCAAGAUAUAUGCUGGCAAUCAUACUCCAAGCUUAUAGCCCCCAGUAUGCAUCUGAAGGGUCUCACCACUGAGGUUUUAUUCAAUGGUAAUAAGUGGUGUUUCCUUAGCAACAGCGAGCCCCUCAAGGUCCUGAAAAUCUUGCUUCCAAAAUAACUUAGAGACUUUAUCCCUGACCCCCUCCCAACCUGAGGGUAUAUAAUCAGUUACCCAUCGCAACCCCAGUGCAGCUCUUCCUGCCCCUGGGUCCUGUCCCCGUGCUUUAAUAAAAUCACCUCUUUGCAUCAAAAACUUCUUCCAGAAAUUUUUCUUGGCCAUUGGCUUUGGACCACCGCACCAAUCUCCAAAACUUCAUCAGUAUACAUUCUACAUUAUCACACAAAAUUUCUGGAUUUCUAACUGACCUGAACACUCAAAUUAGUGCUUUAAGCAAUUCUUCUUUUCCUUUCAUGAUUGGUUCAACUUGUGAACUUGAAGAUUUUCAUCAAUUACCAAAGGACUUUUAUUUGGGCUGUUCUUUCUUGUUAUUCUAAUUACAUUUGGCUGUUUUCUCCUAUGUCUCUCUGUCUUGUGACAAGACUCCAUCACUACAAUAACUUCAAACCAACAGAUGAUCCUUUCUUCUUUUUUUAA